CUAAAGUUUGCCUUCCCAAGGCAAACCAUACAUCUUACAAGGGACUGGAUCCUAAGGACAAUUAAUAAUAGGUGGCGAGCGUACAAAUCUAAGUUGAAGAAACAAUACUUCAAUCGUGACGAGAGAACUCUAGAAGAAAUCCUAAGAGAGAAGCCACUUACGACUAAUGAACAUCAAUGGAGAUCUCUAGUUGGAAUUUGGUGCCAAGAGCAACAUAAGAAAUUAUGUUCCACAAACUCUCGUUGUGCAAAAGAACAGAAGACUGCACACACAUGUGGGAGGAAAAGCCUUGCUAGAUUAAAAAAAGAGAUGGAAACCAGAACUAAACGAAAGGUUCAUAGGAUAGAACUAUGGGAGGCAGCUCAUAAAAAGAAGAAUGGUAGAUACACAACAGAAAAGGUAGAGACACUGAUG